rnacentral:rRNA from 1 species
CCUACGGGAGGCAGCAGUGGGGAAUUUUGGACAAUGGGCGAAAGCCUGAUCCAGCAAUGCCGCGUGCAGGAUGAAGGCCUUCGGGUUGUAAACUGCUUUUGUACGGAACGAAACGGUCGCCUCUAAUAAAGGUGGCUAAUGACGGUACCGUAAGAAUAAGCACCGGCUAACUACGUGCCAGCAGCCGCGGUAAUACGUAGGGUGCAAGCGUUAAUCGGAAUUACUGGGCGUAAAGCGUGCGCAGGCGGUUAUAUAAGACAGAUGUGAAAUCCCCGGGCUCAACCUGGGACCUGCAUUUGUGACUGUAUAGCUAGAGUACGGUAGAGGGGGAUGGAAUUCCGCGUGUAGCAGUGAAAUGCGUAGAUAUGCGGAGGAACACCGAUGGCGAAGGCAAUCCCCUGGACCUGUACUGACGCUCAUGCACGAAAGCGUGGGGAGCAAACAGGAUUAGAUACCCUGGUAGUCCACGCCCUAAACGACUGUACACGUGGUUGUUCGGUUCUUACUACGUGUACUACUAAGUAACGAGUACGUACGCGUAGUAGUACGACCGUCGGUAGGGGACGGUACCGGGCCGUACGUAAGGUUAGAAACGUACGAAAGGGUUAAGUUCGGACGGUUCGUUGAGACGACGACCGACGGACGACGACGGAGGGAGGAGG